rnacentral:rRNA from 1 species
GUGGGGAAUCUUGCGCAAUGGGCGAAAGCCUGACGCAGCCAUGCCGCGUGAAUGAUGAAGGUCUUAGGAUUGUAAAAUUCUUUCACCGGGGACGAUAAUGACGGUACCCGGAGAAGAAGCCCCGGCUAACUUCGUGCCAGCAGCCGCGGUAAUACGAAGGGGGCUAGCGUUGCUCGGAAUUACUGGGCGUAAAGGGCGCGUAGGCGGACAGUUUAGUCAGAGGUGAAAGCCCAGGGCUCAACCUUGGAAUUGACUUUGAUACUGGCUGUCUUGAGUACGGGAGAGGUGAGUGGAACUCCGAGUGUAGAGGUGAAAUUCGUAGAUAUUCGGAAGAACACCAGUGGCGAAGGCGACUCACUGGCCCGUUACUGACGCUGAGGCGCGAAAGCGUGGGGAGCAAACAGGAUUAGAAACCCCAGUAGUCC